CCUGAGAGGAGAAGGAGGCCUAGGAAAGGCAUCGGGCACCGACGGAGCAAUCUUGUGAGUAACGUAGCGACUCUGACAUUCUGAGAGGAGGAGGAGGCCUAGGAGAGGCAUCCUGCAUCGGCGGAGCAACCUAAGGACAACGUAGCCUCAAGAUCAACAACUCCGCUGUUGCGCAUCAGUGCCGGUGAGUGACAAACUUAUAUUUAAUUUUAAGAUAACGGAUUUCUAGAGAUUUUAGAUGUAGAUUAUAGUUUGUAGAUUGUAGAUGGAUCCGUUAUCUUAAAAUGGAUGGACUAGAAUAAAUUAGAUCAUAACUUUUGACAUUUUUUAAAUAGAAAUUUGCA